rnacentral:rRNA from 1 species
UACGAAGGGGGCUAGCGUUACUCGGAUUGACUGGGCGUAAAGGGCGCGUAGGCGGCUUGUACAGUCAGACGUGAAAUUCCUGGGCUCAACCUGGGGGCUGCGUUUGAUACGUGCGGGCUUGAGUUCGGAAGAGGGUCGUGGAAUUCCCAGUGUAGAGGUGAAAUUCGUAGAUAUUGGGAAGAACACCAGCGGCGAAGGCGGCUAACUGGUCCAGAUCUGACGCUGAGGUGCGAAAGCGUGGGGAGCAAACAGG